AUCAAAAGGACUAUUACAGUAGAAAAUGAAAAAAAAUUGGCUGUGCAAGGAAAUGCAUUGCAGAGCCUCAAAGACAUGUUUUUUGUUUUUUUUUUGUGCCGGAAACCUAACAUGAAAACAUGAGUGUUUGUUUGUAAGAGAACUCGGGAGGAAACCUUUACAUUAACCUCUUCCCCAACCCCCCCUGUUCAGCCAAUCUUUACAAACUCAUGCUGUGCGGCCAAACAGUCUUUUAACCCACAGUGCUCAAAUUCAUGUCCAGGCCCCAAAUGUUCAAAAAAUACCAACCAUGUUGUGUCGAAGCCCUCUAGAAUAUCUUGUUCCGACCAUUUGGAUGCGAGCACAGAGAACAGCCUCGACGCAUGUUUCCAAGGACCCUUUUGUGAGCAGCUGGCUCCGGGCAAGCAACCGGAGAGUUCUCCCCGGCAGCACAGGGUUUCACCGUCGCCUCAAGAGACCUGCCGGAUCAAGACGAUGCACUUGAAGAGCGGUCCGUGUUCCAGGCUGACAGAACGCAGGGCUACAGCAGGAUACGGAAAUGUGGACUCCCUGGUUAUAACAUUGAUGCUUUGUGCUCACACACAUACUCAAAUUGGAUGGAAAGAGUUUCCCAGAUGUCAAACAUUAAAUAUGAAAAUGCAAACCAUGUUAUCAUCACCAUCAGUCAAAGAUGACUACAUUCCCUUCUACCUUGUACUUACUGUCAGGCAGUGAGAUUGCACAGUAAUUUAUUGUGAAACCCACGCGAAACAAACAUGCCAUAUGUCAUGUACAUUUCUGUCAUACAGGGAUAAAAUGUCUGGUUUAUUCCACAGUUUCACAAAUUACAUGUCCAAUAUUAAAUAGUGUUCUUCCCUUGGAUUACGAGUUUCUACCAGGCAGCUGUGAUAUCAUAAGGCAAGCCAUAAAGUGAGAAGUAAAAAAAAAAGGAAAACAUGAAUGUGGGUUUUAAAUCUCUGCGAGAGUGUUGGAAUUAGCUCCCCCCCCUUUUUGUUUACAUUGUGAAUAAAACCCACAGACACCACAGCUUUUACAAUGCUUUGAUAAACGGUAAUGAGAACCUAAGCACAGCGCUGUUCAGAUCUGAACUCCUCCAGAUUGAGAUAUUAAGUUGUUAAUUUGAGAGAAGAAUCCCAUCUUCUCUUCGGCUAAUGCAUCUUUAUCGGCGCUUUUUGAAAAUUCCCCUGCGAGGGGGCUAUUUGAAUAUCAAUAAGCCGGGGAGAGAGAGACAGAGAGAGAGAGAGAGAGAGAGAGAGAGAGAGAGAGAGAGAGAGUGUGAUCAAAAAAGCCUCCGGAGUCAAAAGUUUGCAGCCCGAGCGAGGAUGACCCAGACAGAUGGCAGCUCUCAAUCCCCGGACAGUGAAAACGAGACUCAAGGCAAAACUUGAGAGGGAUGAAAUUUGAGUGAGCUUAAGAGGGUUGUGUUUCUGCACGAGGCAGGGAAAGAGCCGGCGGGGUGGGGGGGGUUCUCUGUCUGCCAUUGCGGGGAGAUUCAGACAGAUUAAAGACUGGUAUUUAUGGGAGAGGUUUUGUAGUUUUUAGAUGUUGAUUUUACAGCUGGGGUCUGCGCGAUAAAAGGGGAUGCCACUCAAAAAAAUCCUUGUUUUCCCCUCCGGCCUGCAUGGCGCAAAAAACUACAUUCUGAUUGAUUCUCAAUGAGGGCAGAGAACCAGCAUUGCAUUACUUGAGACAGAUGAAAACACAAUUAUGGCUAAUAAAGAUGCCGUCCUGAAAAUAUGCACUGAAAUGAACUUUAUAUACUACUGAUGUCAAUCCUCAGCUCCCAGAAGGGAAGUGUUCUUUACUGAAAUACCAUUGCAAGAAAAAGCAUAAGCCACAGGAGUAUAAUGAUUGAACAAUUAAACAAGAUAAUUGAAAUAUAUUAGAUGAUCGUCUUAUGAGUUUCCAGAAUAAUGCUAAUGCAGAAACGUUUUACAAGAUAUGUAACUAUUCUCGAGGCCGUGAAGGACCCGCAGGAGCACCCACAUGCUUGCAUUAAAGGAAAGUGCGGUGAUGAAAAUAAAGUACACAGUUGCCCCUGGAUCCAGCUCCCCGUGAAUCGUGACCGCAGAUAUUCGUCAUGGGCAGAUUCAGGCGAGUCAGAAACGCCAGUUUAACAAACUGAUGGCACCAUCACAGGCUGACAAGAGUAGAAUGUCGUGAAGUGACAGCAUGCUUAAAUUUGCAUAAUUAGCUCCAACAGCAGCAAUUAGGCCGUCAGGAAUCUUUCAUCAAAGUUAACAAAGUCUUUGUGGAUAAAAUGGUGCGAGGGAUAAAUAAGGACAUCAAACCGGUAUUAAAGAGUUUUAGCACAACAGCGUGGGGUAAAAGUCUUGUUAACCUUAAAGAGCAGCACUCAGUAUCAUUACAGGUGCAGGUGUGCGACUGUGUGAAAAAUCAAAUCAGUGAAAGACACUGAAAUGACAAAGAUAAUCACGAAACACAAACACAAAGAGAACAGCUUUUGUGUCUGGACAGAAAAAAAAUCAAAUGUUUCCAUUCAUCUUCUGCCAAAAGAAGAUAUUUGCAAAAUGUUUUCUGCCUAAUUGCUGAGCCUUCCGAUGCAUGAUGGAAUAUUGUAAAUGACUGAGAAAAACUAUGUAUAAUUGUACAAUUUGUCAUAAAAAUAUAUUAAUUCAAGA